AGUAGAUGCUUUAUUAUUUUUCCAUUAUCUUUUGGAACCUGCUUUAUAGGUUUUGGGAGUGGGCCCCGAUAUCACAGAAAUUUCUGGCUGGAAGGGAACACAGAAAAUCACCUACUCCAUCCCCCAGUGCUGAAGCAGGGUCAGGGCUUGCUUAUUCCAAAGUUUGCAAAUUGCUGUGGGAACUGAUUUGCUCUGCUCACAUGGCAGUUCUGAGGGGUAGCCAAGGGCUGUAGACACAAUUGAAUUCCACAUAAGCAACCUGGUGUGUCAAACCAUUUGGUUGUCAGAGUGACUUCUGCUGAACAGGAGGAGUUACUCAGAAGCAACACUUAGGAGAAAAUGUGUGAGCUGGUCAUUGGAGUGUCCCAGAUACAUGUUUGCUGAACUGCUCCUAAAAAUUAAGGGGUGAACAGGAGCAGCAGGGUGGCACAUAAUGCUUGUGAUGCCUUUUAUAUAACAACACAAAGCUAUUCCUGAGAGGAGCCUUGUAGAAGAUGUGCUACAACAUCCCCAGGACUGCCAAGCACAUCCAUGAUGGGAUUUUUGUGGUGUCCAGUGGCAUUUUCUGCAUCCCAGCCCGAACACAUCGUGCCAGGCUCGGCAGAGGUGACUGCAGAGAACACCUGUGAUGUUUCAGGGCCUGUGGUUUUCAUGUCUUACUCUGUGCUGUCUCUCAGGGAAAGGACUGGUUAAAAUA